rnacentral:rRNA from 1 species
AACGAACGCUGGCGGCAGGCUUAACACAUGCAAGUCGAGCGCCCCGCAAGGGGAGCGGCAGACGGGUGAGUAACGCGUGGGAACGUACCUUUUGGUUCGGAACAACUCCGGGAAACUGGAGCUAAUACCGGAUAAGCCCUAACGGGGAAAGAUUUAUCGCCGAAAGAUCGGCCCGCGUCUGAUUAGCUAGUUGGUGAGGUAACGGCUCACCAAGGCGACGAUCAGUAGCUGGUCUGAGAGGAUGAUCAGCCACACUGGGACUGAGACACGGCCCAGACUCCUACGGGAGGCAGCAGUGGGGAAUAUUGGACAAUGGGCGCAAGCCUGAUCCAGCCAUGCCGCGUGAGUGAUGAAGGCCUUAGGGUUGUAAAGCUCUUUUGUCCGGGAAGAUAAUGACUGUACCGGUAGAAUAAGCCCCGGCUAACUUCGUG